rnacentral:rRNA from 1 species
AUUGAACGCUGGCGGCAGGCCUAACACAUGCAAGUCGAGCGGAUGAAGGGAGCUUUCUCCUGGAUUCCGCGGCGGACGGGUGGGUAAUGCCUAGGAAUCUGCCUGGUAGUGGGGGAUAACGUCCGGAAAGGGGCGCUGAUACCGCAUACGUCCUGAGGGAGAAAGGGGGGGAUCUUCGGACCUCACGCUAUCAGAUGAGCCUAGGCCGUAUUAGCUAGUUGGUGGGGUAACGGCCUACCAAGGCGACGAUCCGUAACUGGUCUGAGAGGAUGAUCAGUCACACUGGAACUGAGACACGGUCCAGACUCCUACGGGAGGCAGCAGUGGGGAAUAUUGGACAAUGGGCGAAAGCCUGAUCCAGCAAUGCCGCGUGUGUGAAGAAGGUCUUCGGAUUGUAAAGCACUUUAAGUUGGGAGGAAGGGCAGUAAGUUAAUACAUGGAUGUUUUGACGUUACCAGCACAAUAAGCACCGGCUAACUUCGUG